GUCCACGCCCUAAACGAUGCGAACUGGACGUUGGGAGCAACUAGGCUCUCAGUGUCGAAGCUAACGCGUUAAGUUCGCCGCCUGGGGAGUACGGUCGCAAGACUGAAACUCAAAGGAAUUGACGGGGGCCCGCACAAGCGGUGGAGUAUGUGGUUUAAUUCGAUGCAACGCGAAGAACCUUACCUGGCCUUGACAUCCACGGAAUCCUUUAGAGAUAGAGGAGUGCCUUCGGGAACCGUGAGACAGGUGCUGCAUGGCUGUCGU
rnacentral:rRNA from 1 species